CUACGGAGGAUGCGAGCGUUAUCCGGAUUUAUUGGGUUUAAAGGGAGCGUAGGCGGGAGCUUAAGUCAGCGGUUAAAUGGUGCGGCUCAACCGUGCCCUGCCGUUGAAACUGGGUUUCUUGAGAGUGCAAGAGGCGGAUGGAAUUCAUGGUGUAGCGGUGAAAUGCUUAGAUAUCAUGAAGAACUCCGAUUGCGAAGGCAGUCCGCUGGGGCACGUCUGACGCUGAUGCUCGAAGGUGCGGGAAUCAAACAGGAUUAGAUACCCUGGUAGUCCGCACGGUAAACGAUGAUUACCCGCUGUCGGCGGUAGACAGUCGGCGGCCAAGCGAAAGCGAUAAGUAAUCCACCUGGGGAGAACGCCGGCAACGGUGAAACUCAAAUGAAUUGACGGGG
rnacentral:rRNA from 1 species